AAAGAAAAGGAGAGACCGGGCUUUUUUGGUGUGGAAAGGAGCUUGGCCUCAACCCUGGAGGAGGCUGGGAAAGAAGUGGAUGUGCAUUCUGAAAACGGGCUGUUUUCCAGGAGGUGUCAGAAAAUUCAAGCCACCUACACCCAGAGCCAGUGCCAGUGAAGUGCUGAGCAUACACACCAGUUCAUACCAGUUCACACCAGUGGAAAGCUGACUCUGCCACAGACGCUCUCACCUGCGACCACAGGGGUAGAGGUGCCCGGCCCCUGCCACAGGUGUGCUCUGCUGCCCCCUGGCUCCACUGUGACAGCUUCUGGAAUAUUCCCUCACCCGCCUCCCAGCAACCGUAAAACCAAAGGGUGGAUCACAGAAGACGUUUUGAUCACAUGAGAUUGGAGGACAGAGGUAAAGAUGCAACUGCUUGUUUUGACCUUGGAAGGUGAGGGCAGGACCACUGUGUGUUUUUGUAGCUCACAAGACUUGGGGCUCGUCUGUGGGCGGAACUCCUUGGAGUGAAGAGGUCGGCUGUAGCCACUCUCAGCUUAGAAAAAAUUCU